GCUCCAUUCCUGAUGCGUAGGAUCAUCUCCCUAUCCCUCAGCCUCCUGCUCUCCUCAAGACCCUGCAUAGAAGUGCACAAAUGAGCACUAGAACCAGAGUCAAGCACCUAACUGGAUGCAGAAGAAACCGUAAGGUUAGAUUCUAAAAUGAGCAUACCUCUUGAAGGAUCAUCCUUCUUGUUCUUUAAGGUGGCCAGGUACUGAGGACAGUUUCACUUCCAAUGACCGUCUGAUUGGCAGUAGAAAUAUUUUUCCUUAUCAGCAGCCUUCUUCUUCAGUUCUGUCUUCUUCUUCUUGCCAUCCACC
rnacentral:lncRNA from 1 species